UAACCUGGUUGAUCCUGCCAGUAGUGUAUGCUUCUCCUAAAGACUAAGCCAUGCAUGCCUUCGAAUAAGAGGAAGCAAUUCUCUCUGAAUCUGCGAACGGCUCCGCAAACCAGUUGUAAACUAUAGCAAGCAAUCCUGUGGUUGGGCUUCGGCUCGGCCAUGGGUAACAUGGAUAACCCUGGUAAUUCUGAGGCUAAUACAAGAACGUACAACCUGGCUAACCGGCAACGGAAGGCUGGGGAACGUGCAACGUAUCGUAAUGGAUACCGGGAAAGGGUGCACGUUUGGACCGCGCUAAAGACAGUCCUUGGUAAGCCCUUGCGGGCAAGCCUUGGCCUGAGCGGCUCUUGCGGUGUGCUUCUGACCUAUCAACUAGACGGCAGCGUAAGGGACAUGCUAUGGUUACAACGGGUACAGAGGAUAAGGGUUCGAUCCUGGAGAGUGGGCCUGAGAGAUUGCUCA
rnacentral:rRNA from 1 species